rnacentral:lncRNA from 1 species
AUGACUUCCUUGUUUGCUGAUGGAGCAGAGGUAGAAUCUCUUGGUGUUUCCACAGAGAAAACGCUGGCUGUGAAGAGCCGAGAAAGAUGACAUGAUGAAGCCAUCAGGGGAGGCACCAAACAUCCUCAACUCUGCUCACCUAUGGUUUUCUCCAGCCCUCCCAGAGCUCCUCCUGCGCAACCAGGGUAUCCUGACAGAGACCACAUCCUUCAGAAAGGCCUUUUCUGCUCACUUCCUGGGUGUCAUGGUACACAAGAUUACGUCCCAGAAAGCAUGACUGACACUGACUGGCAAGUAUAUCAGAUAAAUGGGAGAGAAGGAUGGCAGUGAAGCGGUAAUGAGAAGUGGGACCAGGAAUCCAGGUGUCAGGGAGGAAGACAUGAAGCAGGCAACGAGAAGAUCUGGAAAGAAGGAGGAGACUCUGAGAGCCAUUGUAAAGGAAGAUGUAGCCGGUUUUGGUAACAGGUUGUGUGUUAUUCUCCUUGAGCUGUGAUUAUGGUUUGGCUGUGUCCCCACCCAAAUCUCAUCUUGAAUUCCCACAUGUUGUGGGAGGGACCUGGUUGGGGGUGAUUGAAUCAUGGGGACAGGUCUUUCCCGUGCUGUUCUUGUGAUAGUGAAUAAAUCUCAUGUUUUAAAAAGGGGAGUUUCCCUGAACAAGCCCUCUUUCCUUCUCUGCCACCGUGUGAGAUGUGCCUUUCACCUUCUGCCAUGAUUGUGAGGCCUUCCACAUGGAACUGUGAGUCCAAUAAACCUCUUUCUUUUGUAAAUUGCCCAGGCUCAGCUAUGUCUUUACCAGCAGUAUGAAAAUGGACUAAUACAAGCUGCCAUCACAAAAUGCUCUAGAUUGGGUGGCUUAGACAACCGACACUUAUAUUCUCACAGUCCUGAGAACUGGAUAUCUGAGAUCAAGAUGCUGCUGGCAGAAUGGGUUUCUGGUGAGUUCUCUCUUCCCGUCUUGAAUACAGCUACCAUCUUGCUGUGUCCUCACAUGGCCUUUCCUCUG